rnacentral:misc_RNA from 1 species
UCUCCGUAGGUGAACCUGCGGAGGGAUCAUUACUGAGUGAGGGUUUAACCGCCCGACCUCCAACCCUUUGUGAAUCGUACUCGUUGCUUCGGGGGCGACCCUGCCGCUUCGGCGGUGCGGCGCCCCCGGAGGCCAUUAAACACUGCAUCAUUGCGUCGGAGUUAAAGUAAAUUAAACAAAACUUUCAACAACGGAUCUCUUGGUUCCAGCAUCGAUGAAGAACGCAGC